rnacentral:rRNA from 1 species
GACGAACGCUGGCGGCGUGCUUAACACAUGCAAGUCGAACGAAGUGGCGAACGGGUGAGUAACGCGUAAUCAACCUGCCCUUCAGAGGGGGACAACAGUUGGAAACGACUGCUAAUACCGCAUACUGAAGGAGGGGAUUGCGUCUGAUUAGCUAGUUGGAGGGGUAACGGCCCACCAAGGCGAUGAUCAGUAGCCGGUCUGAGGGGAUGAACGGCAACAUGGGAACUGGGACAUGGCCCAGACUCCUACGGGGGGCAGCAGUGGGGAAUCUUCCGCAAGGGACGAAAGUCGGACGGGGCAACGCCGCGGGAGUGAUGACGGCCUUCGGGUUGUAAAGCUCUGUUAAUCGGGACGCGGUACCGGAAUAGAAAGCCACGGCUAAUUACGUGCCAGCAGCCGCGUAAUUC